rnacentral:rRNA from 1 species
ACUUCUUAGAGGGACAAGCGGCGCUUAGCCGCACGAAAUUGAGCAAUAACAGGUCUGUGAUGCCCUUAGAUGUCCAGGGCUGCACGCGCGCUACACUGAAGGAAUCAGUGUGCAUGAUAACCUUAUCCGAAAGGAUUGGGUAACCCGAUCAAACUCCUUCGUGAUUGGGAUAGGGAAUUGCAAUUAUUUCCCUUGAACGAGGAAUUCCCAGUAAGUAUGAGUCAUAAGCUCAUGCUGAUUACGUCCCUGCCCUUUGUACUGAGCG